CCUACGGGUGGCAGCAGUGGGGAAUAUUGCACAAUGGGGGAAACCCUGAUGCAGCGACGCCGCGUGAGUGAGGAAGUAUUUCGGUAUGUAAAGCUCUAUCAGCAGGGAAGAAAAUGACGGUACCUGACUAAGAAGCCCCGGCUAACUACGUGCCAGCAGCCGCGGUAAUACGUAGGGGGCAAGCGUUAUCCGGAUUUACUGGGUGUAAAGGGAGCGUAGACGGUUAAUCAAGUCAGAAGUGAAAACCCAGGGCUCAACCUUGGGACUGCUUUUGAAACUGAGUAACUGGAGUGCAGGAGAGGCAGGCGGAAUUCCUAGUGUAGCAGUGAAAUGCGUAGAUAUUAGGAGGAACACCAGUGGCGAAGGCGGCCUGCUGGACUGUAACUGACGUUGAGGCUCGAAAGCGUGGGGAGCAAACAGGAUUAGAUACCCUUGUAGUC
rnacentral:rRNA from 1 species